UCCUUGGCAGUCCAGUGGUUAGGACUCGGAGCUUCCUCUGCUGUGGCCCAGGUUCAAUUCCUGGUUAGGGAA
rnacentral:tRNA from 1 species